AUGGGAAUUCUCUUCCCCAGGAUAUGGAGACUGUUCAAUCCAGGAGCACAAAGUUAUCAUUGUUGGGUUGGAUAAUGCAGGGAAAACUACUAUACUUUACCAAUUUUCUAUGAAUGAAGUUGUACAUACAUCCCCUACAAUAGGAAGUAAUGUAGAGGAGAUAGUGAUUAAUAAUACACGCUUCCUAAUGUGGGAUAUUGGUGGCCAAGAAUCUCUUCGUUCUUCCUGGAACACUUACUAUACUAACACAGAGUUUGUAAUAGUUGUUGUGGACAGUACCGACAGAGAGAGGAUUUCUGUAACUAGAGAAGAACUCUAUAAAAUGUUAGCACAUGAGGACCUAAGGAAAGCUGGAUUGCUGAUUUUUGCUAAUAAACAAGAUGUUAAAGAAUGCAUGAUUGUAGCAGAAAUCUCCCAGUUUUUGAAGCUAACUUCUAUCAAAGAUCAGCAGUGGCAUAUCCAGGCAUGCUGCGCUCUUGCUGGUGAAGGAUUGUGCCAAGGACUUGAAUGGAUGAUGUCACGACUUAAGAUUAGAUGAUCUUUCCUGACCUGACCUCUUCUCAUGGACUUUGCAUAAACGAAGUGCUGGACUUUACCUGAAAGUUGCAAAAAUUAAUGGUUUAGGUAUAUUUAUAAUAAACUGAUUUAAACUUUUUCUAUAAGAAGACAAAUUAAGACCACUUAUUUGAAAACAAAGAUGAAAUCUCACCUUCCAAUUUGCUUUCCCAUUAGUUCCUUCCAAAGUAAGUUAUUAAAGCUGUGAUUGACGUUUUUCCUGUAAUGAAUCCUCUCAGGAAAUUGUGUAGUUUGUGGUAAGUAUAAAGGGAGAGGAAGAAGUUUUGAACUUUAAGAG